CUUUAAUUCUCAUAUUUGGCGCCCAGCUGGAGUUAGUAGCAGAGCCUGCCGCUCAGUCACAUCGGACAUUAUGUGGAAGGCAUUGUGCAGUUUACACCAAGACAUGGACAAGAUGAUGGCCAAACUGGACGUGACUAAAGCGCUGGAGAACUGGAGAAAGUUUCUAGAACUGUCAGCAUGAUGAGGAUCGCGAGGAGACCAGAAUGCCUGUACACCCUGAGGGUGUGUGCAGAGCACACCUGAAAGUUGACAAGGUGAUGGAGAAACUCGUUGAACUGACUGAAGCUGUGGAGAACAGACUGGCUGCAGGAGCAGUAACAUCAGCGACUCUGCAGCAGAUUCCUACAACCCAUCUCGUGAGGUAAAAAGGAUCCACAGGAGUCUGGAGGAUGGGCACAAAUACAGAGGAAAUGAGAGGUUCACGUCUGAGCACAACUCCGGUGGCACAAAUUCAAUGUCGUGGACAAUUGCAGAUGAAGAGGAAUGUGACACCUCUUUGAUCAGAAGAGCAACAGAUACUUUGAGAACAUCAGGAGGGAAUCUAAGUUGUCAGAAGACAAAGUGGAAGAGGAUCGGUUGUUGAGAGCCAAAGCUCUCAACAACCAAAGACAUAGACUUUUCAAUUCACGCCGAUCUGCUGCUCGCUCAUCUUAACCAAUGAGGAGUACAGAUACCUGGAACGGGCGCCUGCAUGCAUGAUGAGCGACGAGGAGACGGACACUGAAGACAAAGACGUGUGGAAAGCGUAUCCACCUGAAUGGACGGCAACAAGACUCA